UCCCUGGUGGCUCAGAGGUUAAAGCGUCUGCCGGCAAUGCAGGAGGCCCUGGUUCGAUCCCUGGGUCGGGAA
rfam:Ovis aries breed Texel chromosome 8, whole genome shotgun sequence.